rnacentral:rRNA from 1 species
UUUAAAGUCUGACCUGCCCGCUGAGUAUUUGAAGGGCCGCGGUAUUUUGACCGUGCAAAGGUAGCAUAAUAAUUAGUUUUUUAAUUGAAAGCUGGAAUGAAUGGUUGGACGAGAAAAUUACUGUCUUAAUAUUAUUUUAUUAGAAUUUUAUUUUUAAGUUAAAAAGCUUAAUUAUUCUUAAAAGACGAGAAGACCCUAUAGAGUUUAAUAUUUAUUAUUAUUAUAUUUAUUAGGGUUAGGAUUUUUGUGAUAUUAGUAUAUAUUUUGUUGGGGUGAUGGAAAAAUUAAAUAAACUUUUUUUAUGUAGAUUCAUUGAUUAAUGUUUAUAUGAUCCAUAAUUUAUGAUUAUAAGAUAAAAUUACCUUAGGGAUAACAGCGUAAUUAUUUUUAAGAGUUCUUAUCGAAAGAAUAGUUUGCGACCUCGAUGUUGGAUUAAAGUAAACUUUUGGUGUAGAAGCUGAAAAGUUAGGUCUGUUCGACCUUUAAAACUUUACAUGAUCUGAGUUUAAACCGGUGUGAGCCAGGUUGGUUUCUAUCUUUAAUAUAAUUUAAUAUUUUAGUACGAAAGGACCAAAUAUUAAUAAUAUUUAUUUAUUAUUUAGAUUAUUAUUAAUG